rnacentral:rRNA from 1 species
GGUUAAGCGACUAAGCGUACACGGUGGAUGCCCUGGCAGUCAGAGGCGAUGAAGGACGUGCUAAUCUGCGAUAAGCGUCGGUAAGGUGAUAUGAACCGUUAUAACCGGCGAUUUCCGAAUGGGGAAACCCAGUGUGAUUCGUCACACUAUCAUUAACUGAAUCCAUAGGUUAAUGAGGCGAACCGGGGGAACUGAAACAUCUAAGUACCCCGAGGAAAAGAAAUCAACCGAGAUUCCCCCAGUAGCGGCGAGCGAACGGGGAGCAGCCCAGAGCCUGAAUCAGUGUGUGUGUUAGUGGAAGCGUCUGGAAAGGCGCGCGAUACAGGGUGACAGCCCCGUACACAAAAAUGCACAUGCUGUGAGCUCGAUGAGUAGGGCGGGACACGUGGUAUCCUGUCUGAAUAUGGGGGGACCAUCCUCCAAGGCUAAAUACUCCUGACUGACCGAUAGUGAACCAGUACCGUGAGGGAAAGGCGAAAAGAACCCCGGCGAGGGGAGUGAAAAAGAACCUGAAACCGUGUACGUACAAGCAGUGGGAGCACGCUUAGGCGUGUGACUGCGUACCUUUUGUAUAAUGGGUCAGCGACUUAUAUUCUGUAGCAAGGUUAACCGAAUAGGGGAGCCGAAGGGAAACCGAGUCUUAACUGGGCGUUAAGUUGCAGGGUAUAGACCCGAAACCCGGUGAUCUAGCCAUGGGCAGGUUGAAGGUUGGGUAACACUAACUGGAGGACCGAACCGACUAAUGUUGAAAAAUUAGCGGAUGACUUGUGGCUGGGGGUGAAAGGCCAAUCAAACCGGGAGAUAGCUGGUUCUCCCCGAAAGCUAUUUAGGUAGCGCCUCGUGAAUUCAUCUCCGGGGGUAGAGCACUGUUUCGGCAAGGGGGUCAUCCCGACUUACCAACCCGAUGCAAACUGCGAAUACCGGAGAAUGUUAUCACGGGAGACACACGGCGGGUGCUAACGUCCGUCGUGAAGAGGGAAACAACCCAGACCGCCAGCUAAGGUCCCAAAGUCAUGGUUAAGUGGGAAACGAUGUGGGAAGGCCCAGACAGCCAGGAUGUUGGCUUAGAAGCAGCCAUCAUUUAAAGAAAGCGUAAUAGCUCACUGGUCGAGUCGGCCUGCGCGGAAGAUGUAACGGGGCUAAACCAUGCACCGAAGCUGCGGCAGCGACGCUGAUGCGUUGUUGGGUAGGGGAGCGUUCUGUAAGCCUGUGAAGGUGUGCUGUGAGGCAUGCUGGAGGUAUCAGAAGUGCGAAUGCUGACAUAAGUAACGAUAAAGCGGGUGAAAAGCCCGCUCGCCGGAAGACCAAGGGUUCCUGUCCAACGUUAAUCGGGGCAGGGUGAGUCGACCCCUAAGGCGAGGCCGAAAGGCGUAGUCGAUGGGAAACAGGUUAAUAUUCCUGUACUUGGUGUUACUGCGAAGGGGGGACGGAGAAGGCUAUGUUGGCCGGGCGACGGUUGUCCCGGUUUAAGCGUGUAGGCUGGUUUUCCAGGCAAAUCCGGAAAAUCAAGGCUGAGGCGUGAUGACGAGGCACUACGGUGCUGAAGCAACAAAUGCCCUGCUUCCAGGAAAAGCCUCUAAGCAUCAGGUAACAUCAAAUCGUACCCCAAACCGACACAGGUGGUCAGGUAGAGAAUACCAAGGCGCUUGAGAGAACUCGGGUGAAGGAACUAGGCAAAAUGGUGCCGUAACUUCGGGAGAAGGCACGCUGAUAUGUAGGUGAAGUCCCUCGCGGAUGGAGCUGAAAUCAGUCGAAGAUACCAGCUGGCUGCAACUGUUUAUUAAAAACACAGCACUGUGCAAACACGAAAGUGGACGUAUACGGUGUGACGCCUGCCCGGUGCCGGAAGGUUAAUUGAUGGGGUCAGCGCAAGCGAAGCUCUUGAUCGAAGCCCCGGUAAACGGCGGCCGUAACUAUAACGGUCCUAAGGUAGCGAAAUUCCUUGUCGGGUAAGUUCCGACCUGCACGAAUGGCGUAAUGAUGGCCAGGCUGUCUCCACCCGAGACUCAGUGAAAUUGAACUCGCUGUGAAGAUGCAGUGUACCCGCGGCAAGACGGAAAGACCCCGUGAACCUUUACUAUAGCUUGACACUGAACAUUGAGCCUUGAUGUGUAGGAUAGGUGGGAGGCUUAGAAGUGUGGACGCCAGUCUGCAUGGAGCCGACCUUGAAAUACCACCCUUUAAUGUUUGAUGUUCUAACGUUGACCCGUAAUCCGGGUUGCGGACAGUGUCUGGUGGGUAGUUUGACUGGGGCGGUCUCCUCCUAAAGAGUAACGGAGGAGCACGAAGGUUGGCUAAUCCUGGUCGGACAUCAGGAGGUUAGUGCAAUGGCAUAAGCCAGCUUGACUGCGAGCGUGACGGCGCGAGCAGGUGCGAAAGCAGGUCAUAGUGAUCCGGUGGUUCUGAAUGGAAGGGCCAUCGCUCAACGGAUAAAAGGUACUCCGGGGAUAACAGGCUGAUACCGCCCAAGAGUUCAUAUCGACGGCGGUGUUUGGCACCUCGAUGUCGGCUCAUCACAUCCUGGGGCUGAAGUAGGUCCCAAGGGUAUGGCUGUUCGCCAUUUAAAGUGGUACGCGAGCUGGGUUUAGAACGUCGUGAGACAGUUCGGUCCCUAUCUGCCGUGGGCGCUGGAGAACUGAGGGGGGCUGCUCCUAGUACGAGAGGACCGGAGUGGACGCAUCACUGGUGUUCGGGUUGUCAUGCCAAUGGCACUGCCCGGUAGCUAAAUGCGGAAGAGAUAAGUGCUGAAAGCAUCUAAGCACGAAACUUGCCAUGACAUGAGUGAUGCCUGACUCCUUGAGAGUCUUGAAGGAACGUUGAAGACGACGAC